rnacentral:tRNA from 1 species
UCCCGGGUGGCUCAGACGGUAAAGCGUCUGCCUGUCAUGCGGGAGACCCAGGUUUGAUCCCUGGGUCAGGAG